rnacentral:rRNA from 1 species
UACGUAGGUGGCAAGCGUUGUCCGGAAUUAUUGGGCGUAAAGCGCGCGCAGGCGGUCCUUUAAGUCUGAUGUGAAAGCCCACGGCUCAACCGUGGAGGGGCAUUGGAAACUGGGGGACUUGAGUACAGAAGAGGAAAGCGGAAUUCCACGUGUAGCGGUGAAAUGCGUAGAGAUGUGGAGGAACACCAGUGGCGAAGGCGGCUCACUGGUCCAUUACUGACGCUGAGGUGCGAAAGCGUGGGGAGCAAACAGG